UUGGUUAUAAUGCCUUUGAUCAGCAAAGCAAAGCCUCAAACCGAACAGAGAUCCAAGCCAGGCAGGGCUGUGGUAGAACGGGAGAAACGGGUUCUGGGGAGUGUCCAUUCCUUGAACUUUAUUCUAUAAUCUGGGAGAGUUUGUUGAGUGCACACUAGAUGCUGGGCCCUGGGCUAGAGCUAGGACACCUGAGGCCACUCAGCUGGACGCCGUGAGUCCUGCGUGGAACGUGCAACUGUAACAAUGGGCAUGGGGCAUGGGGGAGAGGUGCCUGGCACAGGGAGAGGGGGCGAGGCAACGGUUAGCCCCUUGGGUCCAGGAAGGCUUCUCGGGGGAAGGCAGAUUUCCCUGCGAUCGGAAGGGGAGAAGAUGGGAUUCUUGGGGCCUGGGGAGAUGCCCCCCGAGACUUUCCCACCUGAGAUAUGCCCGUGUGAGGUCUGCCCACCGGAGGUGUGCCAGUCCUCCUGAGAAGGCCACCUGGGAGAGAAUCUGGAGGUAGAAGAGACGAGGAAAAGAGGCAAAGAGCUGGAGAUAGAUUCAACCAGCCUAGAAGACUGUCAGAUGUACUACAAGGGGAGACUGGGCUAUGCUGGGCCGUGCUGAAGUGUGCUGGGCUGUGUUAGGGUGUUGCCAGGCUCUCCACCCCACCCCACACAGCUGCAAAGCUGGACUAGGAAGAGUACCAUGAGGCUUAGCUGCUGGGUCGUUGAUCUAAUUGAGCCUUCCCCCCGGCAUCACUAGGCUAAGCCUUCCGCCCCUUGUGCUCUAUGAUCAUCGCCUAUGGAGAAGACGUGGGAUUUUUGUCAGUUCGUUAAUAAUGAAUUGGGAGGUUGUAGAGUUGAGUGAUGAGGUUUCGGGGGCCAGCCUUGAUGGUCAAACGGAUCUGGAUUUGAAUUCUACUCCUUCUCCCCCUGUGACUGCCAAUCACCCACUCCUACUAGUCUGGAGCUGGAACUUCAAGUUCGUGAAUGUGACCUUAGAGAUUAGCAAUCUCAUCACUUCCUUUGAGUCUGCAGUGGAGUCACCUGGAUGACAAAUGUGGCUCCUCCUUAAAGAAGC